UGUAUUGAAUCUGCCUUUUGGCCUGAUAACUCCGCAUGUGGACAUUUAAAUAAGAGCUGGUGUAUUACAUGUAGCUAGCCAUGAGUUUUUUGUUUGUUUUUUUUUUUGAAAAGGUUUUCAUUUUUUUAUUAUCAAAAACUUUCCAAUUUUUACCAAAAAUAUCUUUAACAUGUGUUAUGUCAAAAAUUUUAAAAAGAAAAAAUUCCAAUUAAGUUCAAAUUUUGAUGAUUUAGUUCUCAGAUAAUGCAAAAACUUCCUAAAUUAGAAACUAUGUAAAAAGUACCAUCAAACUGGUAAAUGUAGGUAUAGCAGUCCACUGCACGUGUUGUAGAAUUGAAACAAGGAAAUAUCUGACAAAUGAAAAUCUGAACUAAAAUUCAUGUGGGGAACAACUGGCUGCACUUGUUAACAAAACUUUGAGAUGUGGUGAAAUAAUUUAUGUAAAUCACUACUUCAAUCACAUCAAAGCUCUUUUGAUUAAUGUUCGAUUGGCGUAAAUUGACAUUUUUACUUUAACACACUAACUACUGCAUAUUGACAGUAAAGUUGAUUUAACUAUCCUGUACAAGUACUACUGUAGAUUCCUCAUUUUACGCGAGUACAUGUACUUAAUUCCGCAAUUCUACAGUUUUUCAUUAAGUUGCUGGAGUAUAAAAUGGCGAAUGCCAAAUUUUUAUUAUAGUUUCAUUUAGUUUAUAUCUAUCUGAAAAAUAAAAGCGAGAUUUUAAAAUAAGCAAGAUGUGCUUCUCAUAAUUUUAAGCGGAUAUUAAUUCCACGGGUUUAUUUAGAAAUCUACAGUACAGUAUACUAUGACCACCAGAAGAAAAUGUUCAGUCAGGUGGCAGCAAAUCUUUACAUCUCAACCUUAAAUCAUCCUUCUUUGAAUAAUCUUGGGGUCUAGGUAGGAACCAGAUUGCUUGGUUACAAAAUUGUCUGAAAAUAUGUAUACCUUAAUUAUCAUAUUAUCUCUAGUUAUAUAUUGUAUUUAUGAAAAUGUAUUUUUAACAUACACUUUUGUCUUUUCAUGCAGUCUAUUGGGAAAUCCAUUUUGUUUAUUGUUGUAUUUCAUGAAGUGUAGUCAGUUAAAUAAAUUAAUCUGACUAUUUUAAUUGAGGUGCAUCUGAAAAUCUUGCUGAUCAGGGUUAUAUAAUAUAAGAGCUUAAACAUACACUCAAUUAUGAAUUGCUGAGGCAUACUAUGAAGCAAUGUAUUAGAUUCAUAUAUACAGAGACAAUGCACUCAUCCGAAUCAGUUGAAAGGUUAUAAUUGACUAGUGAUGUAAUUCCUUAGGAAGAAUUGUAACUAUGUGAUAAUAUCAAUGAUGUCCAUUAAUUUGGUCUGUCGUGGAAUAAAAAUGUGGGUUUGUAUAGAAAAUUAUGAAAUAAAUUAUUAACACU
rnacentral:sRNA from 1 species